ensembl:lncRNA
UGUGAUCUAGUUACAGCACAGAUCAAGCUAGGACGAAGAAAUCUCCUUGGAAUUAGAUGGAGUUGGUGAAGCACAGGGACACAAUAAAGACUGAUUCCCUCAAUAAUGCUCCAGAUCCAGCGCCUUCCCAGCAGCCCUGCACACCUCUGUGAGACUUGACUACAGAGUGAGAGCCUGACUGUCAAAUUCUACCAUAUGAAAGUGUUUUUAUUUCCUUGUAUUUGGGUCCUCAAGUCCGGAGCCACAUCCUUUCUCAGGUAAUUUGGCUCAUCAUGAAGAAGCGUGCACCGAGAGUCAAGGAGAACCAGGACAGGCAGGGGCUGCUCUUCCCGGCAGGAAACUACCUCUUCACCAUCUGAAUAAAGGGCACAACCGCUAACUCAGUCACUGUGAAAAAAAAUCUGAGAAUGAUCUUUGGCUUAUCUUUUUUUCUCAUCUGUCUCACAUCUGCAAAGGCUCUAAGUUGGGAACAAUGAUUUUCAUGUCUGUGUAACAGUAAAAAGGCUGGAGCAGUGAGUGCAGGGAAAGUAAGGAACGAGAUCACAGAGGUGCCCUGACGCUUCCUAUGGAGAGUCUUAGAGGUCACAGCAAGAAUUUGUAUUUUAUCUUCUGUUUUACCCUGCGUAUGAUGGAAAACCACUGGACAAUUUUGAUCAGAGGAGAACAAUCAGACUUACCUUUGGCAAACAUCAUUAUGGAUGGUGUGUGAAGAAUUGACAUUAAAGAGCCAAGAGUGUAAGAGGGAAAACAAUUAGAUGCUAUUUCAGUAGUCCAAGCAGAAAUAAUGGCUGCUCAAAAUUGUGGUCUCAGUGGAGAUUGGAGGGGAUUUGGUAUAUAUUUCUAAGGUAUUGCUGCCACGAUUUUCUAAUGGAUGGAUAAAUGUAAGGUGACAUUAUUGAGUUAAAAAAUCUCUAAAUUGUCCUUCAGCCUUAAAAUGCCAUGAAUGUCACUAGUCCUAGAGGAUGUGGGUGUUGCAAUAUGUACCAUUAAUUCUCUGCCUUCUGGGAGUCGCCCCCUUGCAGUGCAUGCACUACAGCAGAAAGAGCAUGUCCUUUGGAGUCGGAGAACAGGGGUUUGAGUUGGAGUGGGUAACGCAGUGUGCCCUGCAGAGCCACAAGAGAAUUAAAUGAUACAGUGUGGGAGAAUCUCUUGGGUACCAUGCAACAUGGUGUAGGGACUCAACAAAAAUAUUUCAUUCCUCUCCAAAUUACCUGCCCUCUACAAGGGGAUUCCUUUCUCUGGCUUACCGGGCUAUGGGGUGGCAAUCUUCCUUGCACAUUCUUGGGCUCCAUACUCAAGAUGUCCCUAACAAUGCACUCCCUUCUUGCCCUUUAGUCUGUAUAUUUGUGUUUAUUAGAGUUGAGAUGACAAAAUCAGAAUUUCCAGAGAAGUGACCCUUAAAUGGGACUAAAAUGAAAGUGUCCUUAGUUUGAAAUUUCAGGUCUUUAUUAUCUGUUUCAUCAUAUCUAGCCUGGGUUUACUCAUAAAGUGUCAGUAUUGCAUUGACUUUUUAAUAAAACUUCUAAAUUCAGAAUUACUAACAUAUAAUAAAGCUUUCACAUGCACAUGUGUAACUACUUUAUAUUCCUUUGUAUUUUUCUCUCCUUUCUUCCUUUUUUGUAAGCCUUAGUUAACGGUUUACAUUCUCUUGUACAUGUAGAUCAGCAAAAAGAGGACACAAGAAAUUGAGUUAACAGAUAAUAUUUCUAUAAAAUCUUGACUGUUUUAUCAGUACCUUCAUUUUAUUAAUAUUGGAUACAUAUAAUUUGGUGAUGAGACAUCCAAUUUUAUGUAAUAGCAUCACAGAAUUUUACUUGGGAAAGUUCAAUUUUUAAAAUAUUUAUCACUGAAUAUCCUAUUAAAUAAAUAUUUAGGUAGAAUUUUUGUUAGAUAAUACUUUUUUUAGAUAGUAAUUGGAAUAUCAGUGAGCUUUCAGAAAUUAUGCAAGUUAGGCAGCUGACUUCUCCCCAUGCAUGACAUCUUGGUAGAGCCUCAAAAUCUAGUAUGAAACAUGACAAACAGAUGUUUACACAGUAUAGUUAGGAAGAUAACAGAAGAAGCAAGCUAAUAAAAACCCAUGACACCAAAGGCAAAGAAUUUCAUUUCUGUGCAUUUCUGUUAUUUACUUGUAUAACUUCUAUUGGUCAGUAGCGGAAAGAAACCCACCAAACGGGCAUGUCCUUCUCCAGUGUCCUAUUUAAGUCUAAUCAUUUAAUCUCUACACAGCUGAUUGCCUCCUUCUGUACUGUGUACUUUCUGA